rnacentral:tRNA from 1 species
UUCCACGGAAUUCUGAAAGAUGGAAAAAUCUUUUUUUUUAUCAAAUCAUUCCAUUAUAUUGACAAUUUCAAAA